rnacentral:rRNA from 1 species
GACGAACGCUGGCGGCGUGCUUAACACAUGCAAGUCGAACGGAAAGGCCUUGCAUCUGUGGGGUGCUCGAGUGGCGAACGGACGAGUAAGUAGUGCGUAACCUACCCUCGAUUUUGGGAUAACUUACGGAAACUAGCGCUAAUUCAGGCCACAUGCUCUCGCUUCACGGCGGGGGUGGGAGAGUUACGGCGGUUGGGGCUGGUCGCGCGGCUCAGCAGCAUGUUGGUGGGGUAGUGGAUUACGAAGGAUUGGACGGGUAGCCGGCCUGAGAGGGUGACCGGGCACAUUGGGACUGGGGUACGGCCCGGACGCCUACGGGAGGCAGCGGUGGAGGAUAUUGCACAAUGGGCGGAAUCCGUAAGCAGCAACGCCGCGUGCGAGAGGUCUGCCUUCGGGUUGGAAACCGCUUUCUCCUAUUACGAAGCGUGAGUGACGGUAAUGGGUAAAGAAGCACCGGCUAACUACGUG